rnacentral:tRNA from 1 species
GCCAUACAUUUAGCGCUCCACACUCUAAAUAAAGUAGAUGAAAUAGCCUCAGUUACUGGAAUUUCCUUACCU